rnacentral:SRP_RNA from 1 species
GCUGGGCGUGGUGGCUCAUGCCUGUAAUCCCAGCACUUUGGGAGGCUGAGGCGGGUGGAUCACCUGAGGUCAGGAGUUCAAGACCAGCCUGGCCAACAUGGUGAAACCCCGUCUCAA